AAGAGAUUCGUUUCCAGUUUUCAGAUCAAGAAAAUGUCAGAAUAUAAUAAAGCUUUCAGUUAUUUGAGAGAAUCCGGUUGGAUAUAAAUAAUAUUAUCAUGGAUUCAAAUUAUUACAUCAUUCUAAAUACAUUUAUUUUUUUGCGGUGCGUUUAAAUGGUCGAACAUCACAUUGUGAAGCUUGAACAUACUAAAAUUACUUCUUACGAAAGAGUUGAGAAGAUUUCAACCGGAAGUCUUUCACAGUCUGAUGGCUCUCUGAUGGCAUUUAGUAAUAAGUGAUUGAAACAUAAGAAGUUUAGAAUUUGAAGUUCCAAAUUUAUUUAAGCUGGAAAUACGAGCGUAUUAUACCUUAAUUAUGGAUGAUGAUUGUUAUUUACAAAAGUUUAGGACUCUUCGCAACUCUAUGUAGCAGGUUGCUAUAUCAGCGAUUGAACAACGAAAUUGUAUGAGGGGAGUUAUCCAUUUCAUUAAAAUAGAGAGCUAGGGAUUGGGAAGCCCUGUAGGAAAGACGUUCGAGUAGCUCAGUUGGAAAUUCAUCAGUAUACUGUGGAAAAUAAUGUAGGAUACUAAUAACUAUUA